rnacentral:lncRNA from 1 species
UUUUUGGCACAAAAAGGACAAAGGCAUACUUAUAUGAAACAACUAAAUAGAUAAAAGUAUUUUUCUUGAAAAUUCUUGGUUUGAUGAAUCUAUUUUAUCAUCUUUUUAUGAAUAUCUUGAAAAUAAUUUUUGAUUUGAUGAUUUGAAUUUGAAUGAGCUUUAUCUUGAUUUUUCGAGAUUUAUAACUUGAGAUUUACUCUAUAAAAAUCAAAAUCUUGUAUCCUCAAUGUUCCUUUUUAGCAUCUAUUAUCCAAAUGAAUUAUGAUUGGUAUCAUUGCUAUAUUUCUUCUUAUCGUGCACUAAAGAGAAAAUUUUUCUAAAUGAAUCGUGAUAUUUCGGAACCACAAUUCUUUUUAUGAUUCAUAAUAAAUUGAGAAAUUUUAUAUGCUUG